AGAAUCAACGCUGGCGGCGUGCCUAACACAUGCAAGUCGCACGAGAAAGUGGAGCAAUCCAUGAGUACAGUGGCGCACGGGUGAGUAACACGUGAAUCAUCUACCUCCGAGUGGGAAUAACUGAGAGAAAUCUUAGCUAAUACCGCAUAACACUUACGAGUCAAAGCAGCAAUGCGCUUGGAGAGGAGUUCGCGGCAGAUUAGUUAGUUGGCGGGUAAUGGCCCACCAAGACGAUGAUCUGUA
rnacentral:rRNA from 1 species